rnacentral:lncRNA from 10 species
CUUCCAUGCUGUGAAAGUUUUGUUCUUUUGCUCUUCACAAUAAACCUUGCCGCUGCUCACUCUUUGGGUCCACACUACCUUUUUGAGCUGUAACACUGCGAAGGCCUGCAGCUUCACUCCUGAAGUCAGCAAGACCACGAAACCACCAGGAGGAACAAACAACUCUGGACGCACCACCUUUAAGAGCUAUAACACACACUGCAAAGGUCUGUGGCUUCACUCCUGAAGUUAGCAAGACCACGAACCCACCGGAAGGAAGAAACUCCAGACACAUCUGAACAUCUGAAGGAACAAACUCAGGACACACCAUCUUUAAGAACGGUAACACUCACCAUGAGGGUCUGUGGCUUCAUUCUUGAAGUCAGCAAGACCAAGAACCCACUGGAAGGAACCAAUUCCGGACACACUAGCUUAAAUUAAGAAGGAAUUUAAAGCCUCUCAAAAAUGAAAAGUGUAGACUGGUGACACCUACAGACAUGGAUUGAAGCAGGAGCCCAUCUAUUCACCGCUACUUUAUUUUUCUCCAUCUCCAGUUACAAUUCCCUUGGUUCAUUCAGAAGCAGAUUUUCCUUCAUGGUGGCAAGAUGUCUGCAACUGCUCCAGAAAUUGUAUUUAUUCUUGUUGAGUCCAGAAAGAAAGAGAGUCUAGACCAGAAUUUCAAGAAAAACUUCUAUUGGGUCUCAAAGCAUCUGAUAGAGCCAUGCAUCUACCUUUAAAUUAAAAACUGAGGUCAGAGGAUAUAAAGUUCCUUAACUGACUUAGCCUGGUAACGUUUGUGAAAAUAAGCGAUUCAAAUUAAAGCUGUUGGAACUUUCAAUUAUUUUGAGUCUUAAAGAAAAUGUGAUUGUUUCUCUAAUUAUAGAUUAACUUUUUCCUUACCUACUUUGUUUUGUAAAAUGUUGCAAAAGAUUAAAUGACACCAGAGAUAAGCUCUCUUCCCUCUUACUUGUUGACCCUCAUUAUAGGUUAACUUCCUCCUUUUUUCUCUUGCACCUGACACAGAUCAGAUAGCACAAAGACUCUAUGAUUAUCAAGUUGCUCAAGAUGAACUGUUAAGUAUACCUUUCCCAAAAACGAACAAGCUGUAACUAAUCAAAUUGUAAUUCAUAAACCAGCUUUAUAUGAAAAUGUUGUAAUCCUACUAAAUUUCUUUGUUUCUACCUAUAAAGGUAAAAUCCUAGUUCUCCACUUCAGAACACUGACCCCAUUCAUUUGGAGUCUGUGUUUCCUGGGCAGCCAUCCUUAAAUUUCACACUUGAGUAAAUUCUUUAGAACUGGAUUCUGAUCAUUUUGAUUAUUUCAGGUUCACACAUUCUUAUUGGGAGUUUGAAUGAGAAUGGGGUGGAGAAGGGUACAAAGGUCCACGGACUGAGAAUAAGGGGGGAAAAAAAGUGGUUUUCCAGAGAGGAAUCAGGAAUUGUUACCAAAAAUGAGACAAUGGAUGUCCAGUGGUAUAAAAUAACAUGUCCACUAAAGAGGAUGGCAAGUAAAUAAUUAUCACUAAUGCCAUAUUACAUAAUAAUUUUCCAUAUUUCACUAAAUACAAUGAGUGAGGUUAUCAACAUCAUGCUGUAUCAUUUAAUGUCCAUGUUUCAAAUGUAAAUACAAGACAUAUUACAUAAUACGAUGUAAAACAGUGAAGUUCACACUAAAGUCAUAUAUAAUAAGAUAUAUUUUGUGUUAAGGAAAAUCUUCAUUUUCCUAUAUCCCGGAUAUCAUUAUCAAAAAAUAAUAUUGAUAGUGGUGUUAUUAAAUGUAAUAUUUGGGUUAUCUACCUAUUGUAGUCCCAAGCUAUCAAAUUUUCAUUUUACUUCUAUUUCUAGCAACAAAUAGGAAAGUCAAUCAAUUUAGAUCUAAUUUAUGUUCCAUAAACUGUCUUCUAGCUUAAAAAAUAUUAAUUUAAUAAAUCACUAGGUUUUGACUUUUAUAAAUACAAUGAGUAUUAUAGAAUCUUCAAUUUCUCAUCUAUUUUAUAUUGCUAUGGUUGAAGUAGAGAAAAGGAAGAAAUCUGGUGAUUUGUUGUAUUUUGGAGAUCUUUGCAAAGAACAAGUCAAAUUUGACUUUGAGAUUCUAGCUCAAGCAUCAGAUUAGAUGUCAAUGUCAUUUACAAGGAUAGCUAAUAUCACAAAAAAAGUAGCUAUUCAGUGGUUUUUGAUUGUCGAAGAAAGUGAGGGAACAGGUAGAAAACGACCACAAUGGUAGUAUUUUCACAGUUAUUUGUAGAUUUACGUAAAGCAAAUAAAAAAAAAAAUCAGUUGUCU